CACUUUCUUUUUAAAGUCAAAAUCCCGGAUGAUCACACAUAGUUUGAAAAAGAUAGGUGACACAUUUUGAUCUGUCUCAUAUAAAAGAUAGGUGAAACAUCAUGUUCUGUCUUAUGUAACUAUUUUUUUAUCUAAUACAGCUGUGGACAGAGCACUAUUUUGAUGUCAGGUAAUAGGAUUAUUAAAAAGUAAUGUGUGACCUUAACAAUAAAUCUUGCUUAUAUUUCAAAUGUUAGUUUGUCAGUGGUAGAUAUGGCUAUUUUUGAUAUUGUAACAUGAUAUUGUAAACAUUUCAAAGAUCUUGCUUCUUUAACUUUUAAAGCCAAUAUUUACUAUUCAUUAUAUUUGAAUAGCUGUUCAUAAUUUUUUGUUUAAAAGUGCAAUGAACUUUUAUCAAUUUACAAAAUUAAGUUUAAUUAACAACAAAAUGCUUAUAACUGGUAAAGAACUUUAAUUAUUUGAAUUCCAGCUGUAAUAAACAAGAAAGGAAACUAGACUUUCAUUGAUUUUAACACAAAAUUACAUGUCAGUGUUCACAAACUAUAUCCUGAUAAUUAUAGUUUACAAUCUUAUCUAUUUGACCAUAAAGUAAAAUAUGCAAUUGUUCUGAUGUAGGUCAUGUGAUGAGAUGGUUUUCCAAAAGGGGUCAGAUUAAGAAAUGGGUUUUAAUCCAAACUACCUGCUUGUUUAGAAACUGAAAUUUGCAUUUUAUAUGAUAUCAAUAAUAUGAAUAAGCCUUGUAAAAUCAGUGCUGUUUUUAUAAAUUAACAUUCUAGUUUACAAGACUUUAGUCUUUUCAUUCUUUAAUGUUUUAUUGAUUUUUUUUUUCUGAACUAAGGGGGAAUAAAGUCCAUGUAGCAAACUGAUGUUUUCAUCUGUAGAUCUUGUCUGGAAUUUUAUAUUUCCUCUUUUGGUAAUUUGGAAAUACAUUGAUUUUUCAAGGAUGUACUGUAGGUAUUUUUGAGGAAAAAGCCAGUCAAUGAAAUCUAUCAGUAGAAAUAACGCUUCUGGGCAGUGUCAGAUUUGUCAUGUCUUUCUUCUCCUGGGGCAAGGUAAAUGUUGGACAAGUUAGUACUGGCAUGGAAUCUAGGAACACUGGCUAGGUUAAGGUAUAGGUCCAUGUUUCGGAGAGAAAAGUUCAAAUGUCAUCACAUCAUAGAAAGAAAGCAUUGUUUUAAAUGAAAAUUUAACAGCAUAUAAAACAUUUAUAUUAUUCUACAAAACCAUUGUCAAUUUACUCAUAUAUGUAUUGAAUUCCGGAAAGGGACUGCAUGAAGGGGCCACACUUCUGGACAGUUCAGCGCCUUUAAAAACUCACCAUUUUUUAAAAGCUGUUAGAUGUCUUCGUUUUGAUGCAUUUGCAACAUCGUGCGAGUGUUUAAAUUUUACAUAACUAGGUAAAACAUUGUUUUUUACAAUUGUUUACAUUUAUUUCUUUACAAAUGGCAUUCUUAUUUAAAGGGGGACAACUCGUUUAGAAUAUUUUAAGUAUCCAACUCUGUGGGACAGAACAGUAAGACAUGUAUUGUUGUGUGUCAAGAUGCUGUUCAUUUACUAAAAAAUCUGUUGUUUUGUGAUAUACUGCUAAACCUUAACUGACCUCUGUUGCAUUAUGAAACUAAUAUACUUUCACACAAAACAAGUAAGCUGAUAAGAGCUGUUAAUAGGUAGUUACUGUCCUUGUGUUAAGGUACAUGAAAUAUUUCAUGGGGACACUGAAUGCUGGCAAGAUUUUUGGGGGACAUACCUCUUGACUUUGAGAUAAAGUAAUGUGAAGAAGAUACAAUCUUAAAUGAUAUUAGAUUAAAAAUUACAGGGUAGGUAUGUAAGUUGAGCGUAGCAUACAUUGCAUACAUUGUACAUGCUGUACUUACAGAUUCAAAAGUUUGGGAAUAAAUAUUUCAGCAGUGAAGUUAACCAUGAGAAUGCUAAAUGUAUGUUUGACUUUGAUUGGGCUCAACACUUUUUAGAGCUAACAUCACUUUCAUUUCUCGCAAUUUUAUAUUUCAUAUAUUGCAGAAACAUUAGAUAUAAGCUCAGAAGCUUCUGAUCAUGGCUGUGAGAAGUUGAAGAACUCUGUCCGUCCUAAAUAAUCGAGGAUAACUUUACAUUACUUGGCACCACCUUCCACCCACAAUAAAUACAUAUUGGUAGAUUCUGAUGGUUUGGGUUUAUUUAUAUCAUUUUUGAAAUUUCAAAUGUGAAAGCAGUACAUAAUGAUGACAUAGUCAUCAAACUCAUAAGUUUGUCAUUUAUUUUAGUCUGGUUAUUCUGCAUAUCUUAGGAAGGAUUACUUCUGUUUUCACUUUAUCUACUUCAUAAGUUGUUUUUCUUUCAUUUUAGCUUCAACCUGUAAAACACCUUUUUUUUUCCACUUUUAAAAAACGGCAACAAUAUGCCUAGUAUUUUUCAUGGUUUAGUGUAAGGCCAUUAUUCUUUCAUCUAAGCAGUUGCUGUUCCUUAUGUAAAUAUUUCUCUUCAAAAUGUAUAUUGUUAUAGCAUUAAUUACCUCCCUUGCACAAACAGUAUUACCGGUACUGCUGUUAGCAAUAAAUACCUAAAAAUAGCCUAAUGGUACUGUAUAUAUUAAGAAGAAAUGAAAAACACCAAAGACUCAUUCUAUUUUCUUCUUCAUUUUACUUCUUUCUCAUAGUAUUUCAACAGUAUUGUAUGUAAGAUUUUAAAAUACUACAUAUGUAUAAGUUAACAUAGUAUGCAUAUGUAAUGUCACCAAAAAAACUGGAAGUUUUUUCUAAAAUGUCUGUUUUGAUUGCACCUCUGCAUGUUUCAAAGUAACUUUAUAUACUAGGCCAAUUUAUGAUUAAAUAUAUUUGAUGAAGACUUUCUAUUUUAAAUCAGUAUCUAAUAGCAAAAGAUGAGCAAAGCAUAUCUUUAAACAAUAAUCAAAAACUGGGUCACCAGGUCAAAUUAUAGAAAAACCUGUACAUUUUCUACUUGAUCUUCAUAAAAUUUUGUCAGAAUCUUUGUCUCAAUAAAAUCUAGGUCUAGUUCAAAACUGGAAUAUCCAAGUCAAAAACUAGGUCACUAGGUCAAAUUAUAGAAAGACAUUGUUGUUGUAACAUCAAAAGGCCACAUUUUCUACCUGAUCAUCAUGAGACUUGGUUGAAAUGUAUUUAUGUUUACAGUUUAGGAAAAAUUCGUAACUGGGUAACUGAGAAAAAACUAGGAUUUUUACGUCAAGUCAUAGAAAAACUUUGUUAACACUGUUGAGACCUCUUUUUAGCUCGACUAUUCAUAGAAUAGUGAGCUAUUGCACUCGCCCAUGCGUCGGCGUCCGCGUCCCGAUUUUGGUUAAGGUUUUGUAUGUAAGCUGGUAUCUCAGUAACCACUUGUGGGAAUGGAUUGAAACUUCACACACUUAUUCACUGUGACAAACUGACUUACAUUGCACAGGUUCCAUAACUCUAUUUUGCUUUUUUACAAAAUUAUGCCCCUUUUUCGACUUAGAAAUUUUUGGUUAAGGUUUUGUAUGUAAGCUGGUAACUCAGUAACCACUUGUGGGAAUGGAUUGAAACUUCACACACUUAUUCACUGUGAUGAACUGAUCUACAUUGCACAGGUUCCAUAACUCUAUUUUGCUUUUUUACAAAAUUAUGCCCCUUUUUCGACUUAGAAAUUUUUGGUUAAGGUUUUGUAUGUAAGCUGGUAUCUCAGUACUUACUAAUGGGAAUGGAUUGAAACUUCACAUACUUGUUCACUAUCAUGAUCUGACAUGCACUAAGCAAGUCCCAUAACUCUACUCUCUUUUUUUUCAAAAUUAUGCCCCUUUUUCGACUUAGCAGUUUUUGGUUAAAUUUUUGUAUGUAAUCUGAUAUCUCAGUAUCCACUAAUUGGAAUGGAUUGAAACUUCACACACUUGUUCACUGUCAUGAUCUAACAUGCACUGUGAAGGUCCCAUAACUCUACUUGGCUUUUUACAAAAUUAUGCCCCUUUGACUUAGCAGUUUUUGUUAAGUUUUUGUAUGUAAGCUGGUAUCUCAGUAUCCACAAAUUGGAAAGGAUUGAAACUUCACACACUUGUUCACUGUCAUGAUAUGACAUGCAGUACAGAGGUUCAAUACCUCUCUUUUGCAUUUUACAAAAUUAUGCCCCUUUUUCAACUUUUGUAUUCAUUCAAUUGACAAGGCUGUUGAAUAGUCCAGCGUUGCUGUCCUCCGACAGCUCUUGUUCAACUUGAUCAUCAUUAAUCUUUGUUCAUAAAUCUUUGUCAAAAUGUUUGUCUGUAUGGAAUCAAGGUCAAGUUCAAAAGUAGGAUAUCUGAGGUCAAAAACUAUGUCACUAAGUCAAAUUAUUGAAAACAUUGGUUAAUGGUCUACCUGAUUUACAUAAAACAUGGUCAGAAUGUUUUUCUCUAUGAAAUCUAGGCCAAAUUAGAUUCUAGGUUAUAUGUGGUAAGAACUAGGUCAGAUGAGCAAUACAGGGCCUUCUGGGCCUUCUUGUUAUUAGUAUAAGUGGAUGGUCUGGCAUCCUGCUUCCAUUGUCAACUUUUUUUCUGAAACAUCUACUGCUCUGAAACUACUGGUCAGGAUUUCAUUAAACUUGGUCUGUAGCAUCCUAGAAAGGUCCUCCUCUCACGUUUUUACAAAUGGGGUCACUUGGCCCAUUUUAGGGGCCUCAAGAGCUAAAAUAGAACAACCUUUAAAUGACUUUGCAUGAACUACUUAAUUGAUCUUCAUCAAACUUAGUCUGUAGCAUCACUGUAAGGUCCUCUGUCAAAUUUGUUCAAAUUAGGGCACUUGGUCCCUUUUAGGGGUGUUAGUUCUAAAAAUAGAAUUUCCUUUCAUGAACUGCUUGAUGGUUCUUCAUCAAACUUGGUUUGUAGCAUCAGUGUAAGGUUCUCUUUCAUAUUUAUUUAAAUUAGGGCACUUGAUCCCAUUUGGAGCCACUAGAGCUAAAAAUGGAAAUACCUUUAAACCACUUCUUUUCAUGAACCGCUUGAUGGACUGUCAUCAAACUCAAUCUGUUGCAUUAUCUUAAGGUCCUCUCUCAAUUUUGUUCAAAUAUGAGCACUUGCUUUUAAGGGGUCACUAUAUGUUAACAUAAAAAUCAUUUAAACAACUUCUCAUGAACAGCUUGAUGGAGCCUGAUCAAAUUUGGUUUGUUGCAUCAUUGUUAGGUCCUCUCUCAAUUUCGUUCAAAUGAGGGCACUUAGCUUCUUUUAGGUGCCACCAGAAGUAAACAUAGAAAAAAUCUAGAUCUCCAUCAAACUUGGUAUGUAGAAUCAUUGUACAGUCUUCACUCAAAUUUGUUCAGAUGAGAACACUUGACCUGUUUCUUGUAUUUGCUAAAUACAGAUAUUACCAAUCAUGAUUCAGUGUGUCAUAUGUUUAUUCAAGGUCAGGUUAGCGACUUAGGGCCACUAUGGCCCGCUUGUUAUUUAUUUUUAGGUGUACCUGAUAUAGUGGACGCAACUUGACCCCGAUGGUUGACCUUUGUAUUAUAAUACAUAUUGAGGCACAACUUAUUAUUGAAAAGGAGUGUAGGUAAAACACAAGCUGCACGCGAAAAUGGAAAUAUGAAUUUGUGUGAAUAUAAAUUAGUGUAUUGGAAAGUUUUAACUGAUCAAAUGUAAAUAUACAUACUUUGAUACUGCACUGUGUACAAACUUAGUCUAUAUAAAUAUACACAGCUGCCCUAAGGCCCCUUAUUUCUACAAUGAAAUAAUCGAUAUGAAUAAUCAGACAAAGGUCAACCAUCGCGGUCAAGUUGCGACUACUAUAGUAUUUUGCACAUUUUUGAUCCUUAGACAUGUGUUUAAAAUAUACAGGUUACAAAUCAUACCAUAGAAGUAUGAUAUUGCAUAAACAAACAUAAUACCUAUAUUGUAAAUAUAAAUGUGCAUAAUGAAAUAGAUAUGCUGUUAAAUAAACAUGAAAAUUGAUACAAGAUUACAUGACUUGGUGCAUUUUGUGCGUAGUUUUGUUAAGUCAUUGAUAUAUUAUAAUAGUUCUAAUUAUAUGGAAGAAAAUUGAUCAGCAGGUGUAUACUCUGAAAAUAUCAGAUUACAAAUUAUUAUAUUAUUAUUAAUAUAACCUGAAUUGAUAUUGUAAGCAAUAGCUUUGUUUUCUUCAUAUCUCUGUUAGAAUGACACACGGUUUAUGUUUAAACCAUUUUUCGGUCACUAGAUCUUGAAAAACUAUAUUUGCUAAUGUUUAAGAAUACGAAAUGAGAAUCUAAAACAGUACUGUAAAAUCGUACAGUUUAGUCAUGGUGGACUAAUUUUCAUGGAUUCCAUAGGUCUUUGUACUUAUACACAAAAUUAUAAUCAAUUUAUUUAAUCUUUAAAACAUGAAACCCACAAAAUCAUACUUUCUUUACUUCACAAAAUUAAAUCAUUUCAAGAAAUGAAAACAAUUUUAUGAUUAUUGCCAGCAGUUAAAAAUUGCAGAUUUAAUUAUUGUUUUAUUUACAUGACUCAAAAUUUAGGAUGCUGUUUUCUGACAGUUGUGCAUCACUUCCAAGCUACUGGGUUUGGUGGGAUCUAGCUUAUCUGUCUUUUCUGAAAAUUAUCAUUUUUCGUGGAAGACUAAAUUUCAUAGAUUUCCACAAAAUAGUAUCCCAAGGAACUAAUAAAAUUCCCAACUAUUUUAUUUUUUUUCUGUUUUGAAAUUCCCAAAUUUCUCCACCUAUAUAAAGUAGGUGCAUUAUUUUGCAGUAAACAUAGUAGCACUAGGGUAAAUAAUUCUUUACUACUGAAUUAAUAGGUAUCCAGCAUUUUAAUUCCCUUUGCUGGUUUUGCAAAAUAAAUAUUUUUUCUUAAUUGGAAAACAGCUUAAUUUUUGCAGUAAGUGCUUAUGAAUAGCGCUAUUUGUUAAAUAGCCGAUAUUACACGAGUAUCUUUUCAUAUUGAAUUUAUUAAACAAGUUGAAUAAAAUAAUGAAUUGCGAGGCUCUUCCAAGCAUUUUAUCAAUUUUGUUCAACGAGUUUAAUAAAUUCGAUAUGGAAAGUCACAAAAGUAAUAUUCUUUUUAUCACAUGUUAGCUUUUCCGGCAGAAACAUCAAAUAUUCUACUUUCUUUAACUAUUAUAAACUAGUCAUUUUUACCAACGUCUCCUAUACUUUAAACGACGUCAACUUCAAAGCUUUAUCAAUUUUAUGUGAUGUCUUUAUUUCACUCCUGCAAUGUCAGACAUGUGAUAAUGUGCCAUAAAAUUAUACUGGGAAUCAAAAUGCAUAGUUUGAAUCAUUUGCCACUCAAGGAGCAUGUUUCCAAAUUUAAGUCCGUUUUGUUUUUUUUAAUUUAGAAAGUACUUUCAUUUGUUAUUUAUUUCACACUGAAGGUAAGCUAGAGGAAGAUUUAGCUGAUUCUUUGUAUUUUACUUGUUGGUAUAUUACCGGCGUAUAUCAACUGAAUUUUUUUAUGUAUAUAUAUAAUGAUGUACAUCUUGAUACAUGACUCUGUUAUAAGAUACCGAAAACAAAUGACUUUUUGCAAGAGUGAGAAAUUUAUGUUAAUGUGAACUAAAUGUGUCUGUUUGUAGCUGAAGAUAGUUCAGUGAAGAGAGAGGAGGAGGAGAGAAGACGUCAUGAGAUCAUCAAGACAUUCCGUACAGCACCUUUCGAGGAAAUUGUUGCCAGGUCUGAAGCAAAGUCCAACCAUUUCCACAACAAGUUGAAUGAGAUUUUGUCUAUGGUAUCAAAAGGUUCAGACAGUCCGGGAACAUUGAGACGAGCUGCAGAUAAACCUGCCACUGUGUUUGACAUUCAGUAUCCCGAGUUAUAUGUGUACUAAAUGUUACAAUGUGGACAUUGUGUUACAUACGCGCUUUCUUCUUAAAAUGAUUAAUUAAUUUAUUUUAAAUAAGGUGAUGGAUGAUGGUCCUUGCUGUCUUGGCUCGUCAGUACUGCCAUUAUUGGAUGAUUUCAUUACACAUCAGAGAAAAUCCAUCAUAAUUUUAUGGGGAAGUGUGUCCAUAUGUUUUACUCCACACGUAUUUUUAGACCAAUCCAUUAUAGGGCCUCUGACUAAGAAGCACAAUGGGUUUUAAAGGCACAAUGGGCUUUAAGGGGAGAAGGUUCAUGGGAUAUACGACAUGUAUGUUAUAAACACAAAACAAAAUCUAACUUUAAAGCAGAUUUUUUGGUAAUUGGGAAUUUAAUAAUGACUAAAUUUCAAAGUUUUAAGAUCCAAAGUUACCGGUACUUAAAUUUGGUCAAUUUUUGAUGACACUGCACUGAAAAAAAAAGACAUAAUUUUUUAACAGAACUAGCCAGUUACCAUUUGCAGACUUUGUAUAUUUUCUGGACUUAAUCCUGCACUUAUGUGUUGUUUUGUGAUAUAGAUAACUGCUUUAAGUAAUUAUCUUAACUGUAAAAUAUGAGACCUACAAACUAAACUGCUAAUCAUUUAGAAAUAUGUAGAAUGGAAGAGAAUUUCAUAGACAAGUUAACAGUGGUUAGAAAGAAAAUUUUCAGUCUGAUAUUUAAAAGCAUAAAAAAUCUAAUAAGCCAUGAGUUAUCCAUUCAUACACCUUAUAUUUAGCAAAGAAUUAGGCCAUCAUGAGCUGUAUAGAUGUAGUUUUUGUUACAUUUUGUAUUUACAUAGGGUACGUAGAACAAUUAUAAGCAUUAAGCAUUCUAGUCUUAAAGACCCAAGGCAGAGUAAGUGUGUUCUGUUGUGUUUGCAUGAUGGUGAUUUUACAUGCUUUGCAUGUAGGAAGGGAAAACAUCAGUAUGAACUUGUUUUUUAUUUCAGUUAAAGAUGGCAUAAACAAUAAAUUAUGUUUAUUUCUGAACUAGAAUAAUGCAAUGUUAUAAAAACAAAAGCUGAUAACACUGUCUAAAUGCAGAAAUUAAAAGCCAUACUUUAAACUGGAGAUAUAACUGUAUUACAAUGUAUUAGGAGAUUGAUUUUCAUUAAGUUCACUGGUGGAAAAAGUAGGUUUUCCUGGGUCAUGAUGUCUCAGAUUCAGACUGGAAGUGUUGAUGAAUACUAGCUUACAUUCUAAUUAUAUCCCUGGUUUUUACAUGAAAGAUAUUACUUUGUAAUUCUGUGUAGAAAUGGAACUCAACUUUGAUUGGCAGAUUUAGAUGUUAGUGAAAUACAAACUUUAAGGUUUAUACAAGUAAUCAUGAGUGAUAUCAAGCUGUUCUAAGGGCAUUAUGUAUUUACAUGCAGAAACAGGAAGUUGUCUCUGAAUGGUAUAUUUAUAGAUAGAGUAAAUUUUUUCAUAAAAAGUACAUUUCUAAUCAUGUGAUUGCUCUUUCAUGAUAUAUUUGAUUUUUGUCAGAGCUGAGAUCAAUUUUAGUUCUGUAAGUCCGAGAGAAAGAAAAAAAAAGCUGACACAUCAAUAGAAUUUUGAUUGGUGUAGUCGAACUAUAUAAUUCUGGCAUUUUUCAAAACACACUCUUAAAUGAAUGAAAUGAAGCAAAGAAAUCAUAUCAUAAACAUAGCAAUUGUUGCAAUUAUUUUACUUACUUGGGGGAAUUACUAUAAUUAAAUUAUGAUAUAACACAUAUUUCUUUACAUAAAUCUUGAAUGUUUAUAAUUUUAUACUAGAUAGAUCAUGUAAAACUGUGAUUAGGGUUAGUGCAAUGUGCAAUAUUAUGUUAAUUACUUGUCAACAUUAUUCAUAAUGUUCACAGUCUCCAUUGUGUAUUAAAAAAACAACAUUAAAACAAAUAUAAACUCAA